rnacentral:tRNA from 1 species
CGGGGCGUGGCGCAGCCUNNUGGCGCAGUCCGGUUAGCGCGCGUGCUUUGGGAGCACGAGGUCCGGGGUUCGAAUCCCCGCGCCCCGACCG